UCAAGUCCAGCUCACCUGACAUA
rnacentral:piRNA from 1 species